CACCGCAGUCCCUACCAAACAAUAAAUCACAAUUUAUCCAUCCAAAACAACAUUUGAUAAGAGAGUUACUAUUUUCUAGGACAUGGUUGGCUGCAGCUUCAGUUCAUUCUCUGGCGACAUCCUGUUGGUUGCAGGCUGCCACUGGUACUCUUUGAUCCCCACAAGCUGGCGGUGCUAAUUAACCCCCAACGGCCACUGUCAUUGCUAACAACGUGGCCUCUAGGCGUUAGUCUAAAAUUCGUUGGGUGGGUGAGCUAGACCGGGUUCCCCUAUUAAAGUAAAAUCCCCAACUGGCUUAAUCUGUAUAAAAUCCCAAAUACACAAUCAGAAUAAUACGCAGGCAGCAGCAGCUGAACCAAGCGGCAAGCGCACAGAAACCGAACCAGCAAUAGGAGCCAAGGAGAACCCCUCCCACGUACCUUGAGCAGAACCAUGGAAGCCCAGUAGUCGCAGCUGCACUCCUGUCGUCACGCCGGAUCGCAAGUGGAGUUGAAGGCAGCGAUGGAUCCACGGCUCCGAUGGUGGCGGUUGCAGACGGAGUAGGGAACCGGUGGCGGCGAGGAGUUGAGGAGGCAGCGGGGAAGGCACGGCGGUGGUGAAGCGCGAACGCGCGCGAGGGGAACCCGCAGUGGGGGAAAGCGCGGCAGUAGUGAGGCACGG
rnacentral:lncRNA from 1 species